rnacentral:rRNA from 1 species
ACACCCGUACCCAUCCCGAACACGAUGGUUAAGACCUAAGCGGCCGAUGGUACUGCACUGGAGACGGUGUGGGAGAGCAGGUGGCCGCCAGCA